UACGUAGGGGGCAAGCGUUGUCCGGAUUUAUUGGGCGUAAAGAGCGUGUAGGCGGUUAGGUAGGUCCGUUGUGAAAACUCGAGGCUCAACCUCGAGACGCCGAUGGAAACCAUCUGACUAGAGUCCGGAAGAGGAGAGUGGAAUUCCUGGUGUAGCGGUGAAAUGCGCAGAUAUCAGGAGGAACACCGGUGGCGAAGGCGGUUCUCUGGGCAUUACCUGACGCUGAGGAGCGAAAGUGUGGGGAGCGAACAGG
rnacentral:rRNA from 1 species